UACGUAAGGGGCGAGCGUUGCUCGGAAUUACUGGGCGUAAAGGGCGUGUAGGCGGUGUAUUAGGCCGAGUGUGAAAGACCAGGGCUUAACUCUGGAGACGCGCUCGGAACCGAUAGACUAGAAUCUAGGGGAAGGUAGUGGAAUUUCCUGUGUAGCGGUGGAAUGCAUAGAUAUGGGAAGGAACACCAAAGGCGAAGGCAGCUGCCUAUGCUAAGAUUGACGCUGAGGCGCGAAAGUGUGGGGAUCAAAUA
rnacentral:rRNA from 1 species